rnacentral:rRNA from 1 species
UACGUAGGGGGCAAGCGUUGUCCGGAUUUAUUGGGCGUAAAGAGCGUGUAGGCGGCUUGGUAGGUCCGCUGUGAAAACUCGAGGCUCAACCUCGAGAUGUCGGCGGAAACCACUUGGCUAGAGUCCGGAAGAGGAGAGUGGAAUUCCCGGUGUAGCGGUGAAAUGCGCAGAUAUCGGGAAGAACACCUAUGGCGAAGGCAGCUCUCUGGGCCACUACUGACGCUGAGAAGCGAAAGCAUGGGGAGCGAACAGG